rnacentral:rRNA from 1 species
CACAGGUGCUGCAUGGCCGUCGUCAGCUCGUGCCGUGAGGUGUUGGGUUAAGUCCCGCAACGAGCGCAACCCCCGCCGUUAGUUGCCAGCGGUUCGGCCGGGCACUCUAACGGGACUGCCCGCGAAAGCGGGAGGAAGGAGGGGACGACGUCUGGUCAGCAUGGCCCUUACGGCCUGGGCGACACACGUGCUACAAUGCCCACUACAAAGCGAUGCCACCCGGCAACGGGGAGCUAAUCGCAAAAAGGUGGGCCCAGCUCGGAUUGGGGUCUGCAACCCGACCCCAUGAAGCCGGAAUCGCUAGUAAUCGCGGAUCAGCCAUGCCGCGGUGAAUACGUUCCCGGGCCUU